CAAGUCAUAAGCUGGAUGUGCUCGGUGAGGUGAGGUUGCAUAGUGGCUUCCAGUUUGAUGGUGAAGAAAACUAGGUGUUCGCAUCAGGUCAUCUAAAUACCCUUAGCCCUGGACAGAUUUGAGUGGCCCUGAAAACGUCUGCUCCCUGGCUGCCCUUCCUCUGUGCUCCUUUAUAGAUCAACCCUCCCACUGCUAGACCCUGGCCUGGGAACUACCUCUGGAGGGGCCUUUGCUGAGCACUGCUCUCAUCCACUACAUGCUGAUUUUGGAGUUCAACAUUGGGAAGCCUCUCUGAGACUCACCUGGGAGGGGCGCUGUGAGGUCACCAAGGUGCUGGAUGAUACGGCUCCCCAGGGAGCGGAUUGAAUUGCCAAGUGGAUGGAGAAGAAAUACCGAAAAUACCAGGAGAAGAUUAAUACCUUGAAGAUUCAUCAGCCAAGUGUGAAUUAUUGACUUCAGUUUACCUCUGAGGAUGAGCUUGUGGUUGUCCCUGUGGGGCCAACAGGACAGAGGAGAGAAGUUCUGAGAGGGUGGUUGGGAGGGGCCACAAGGGAGUCACUCACAGCUGAGCUGCCUGAGAAGAUGGAUCUGGGAGAAACUGAGGAAGCCUCUGACGAACAUGCGCUUGGCAGCCCCUUGCUCUGAAGCCCUGAUGAGGAGGUUGGUGUCAAAGUCUCAUCUUAAAGAGUGAGCGAAUUUGGAGGAGGCCUUUGUCUCAAAAGUCCAACUCUGCUCAACCUGCACCUCAGGAGAAGACAGGGAGGAGUGGGGGCCAUUCCCCUGCAGUGGAGGAAAUCUAAGUAGAGGUCAUUAGAAAUAAGACCCAAGAGAAGGAAGAGAGGAUGACAGUGACCGGAACACACUGGGAAUGUGAAAUGACAGUUUCAUUCUAACCUGAUUUCCAGACAGACCUUUGGAGAACACCCGGGGAAACAGAAACCUCUCCCUGGUAACCGCUGGGUCCCCACAAGGCUGUAGCGCCAGGAGAACAGGAGAGAAGGAGGCUCCCCGAGGCUGGGGAGGCCCGUGAUCUUGCAUUGUGGUUCCUCAGAGCCGUGGACCGUAUCAGCCACAGCCCGGACUGCUGACCACCCCCCCAGUGGUGGGAGCUCCGGGAGCCUGGGGACUCAGGCUGUGCUGCCCCAGUGCUGGGGUCUCCCAGGAAGAGACUGGAGGUGAAUGUGAGCUGGCCCCUGGGCUGGCGCUGUAGGGGCAUUUGAGGGCCCUGGCAUUGCUGGUGGUGUUUGGCAAGGUAUCUCAGCCUGAGGGUGAAUUAAAUGAGACAGAUGCAUCAAACCUGA
rnacentral:lncRNA from 1 species